rnacentral:rRNA from 1 species
AACGAACGCUGGCGGCAUGCCUAACACAUGCAAGUCGAACGAAGCCUUCGGGCUUAGUGGCGCACGGGUGCGUAACGCGUGGGAAUCUGCCCCUUGCUUCGGAAUAACAGUUAGAAAUGACUGCUAAUACCGGAUGAAGUCUUCGGACCAAAGAUUUAUCGGCAAGGGAUGAGCCCGCGUAGGAUUAGGUAGUUGGUGGGGUAAAGGCCUACCAAGCCGACGAUCCUUAGCUUGUCUGAGAGGAUGAUCAGCCACACUGGGACUGAGACACGGCCCAGACUCCUACGGGAGGCAGCAGUGGGGAAUAUUGGAAAAUGGACGCAAGUCUGAUGCAGCAAUGCCGCGUGAGUGAUGAAGGCCUUAGGGUUGUAAAGCUCUUUUACCAGGGAUGAUAAUGACAGUACCUGGAGAAUAAGCUCCGGCUAACUCCGUG